rnacentral:tRNA from 5 species
GUCCCCUUCGUCUAGCGGUUAGGACACCGGGUUUUCAUCUCGGCAACAGGGGUUCGAUCCCCCUAGGGGACGCCA